UUUUAAUAGAAUGUCUAUGAAGUGUUUUCAUGUUUUUCUCUUCUUUCUCUUCCUCUUUGGGAGAAAAUGUCCCAAGGGACAUCUGCUACUGAUACUCCUGCUGACCAAAAGUCACUUACUUCAUCAGACAAUAUGCCAAGCCUAGGUUCACAUUGGGGAAGUAUUUUGAAGACAUAGAAGGUGACCAGAAAGACUAGAAAAGACUUUUGGCUGCCAAGGGGCAAAAAGAAAUGACCAUUCAGGUUUUUGCCAAAAACAUCCUGAGCUUCUGCAUUGUGCUGAUCAAUUGCCUUCUUACGAUCCAGUUUUGAAUGGA